AGUGAACGCUGGCGGUAGGCCUAACACAUGCAAGUCGAACGGCAGCACAGGAGAGCUUGCUCUCUGGGUGGCGAGUGGCGGACGGGUGAGGAAUACAUCGGAAUCUACUCUGUCGUGGGGGAUAACGUAGGGAAACUUACGCUAAUACCGCAUACGACCUACGGGUGAAAGCAGGGGACCUUCGGGCCUUGCGCGAUUGAAUGAGCCGAUGUCGGAUUAGCUAGUUGGCGGGGUAAAGGCCCACCAAGGCGACGAUCCGUAGCUGGUCUGAGGUGAGGAUCAGCCACACUGGAACUGAGACACGGUCCAGACUCCGACGGGAGGCAGCAGUGGGGAAUAUUGGGCAAUAGGCGCAAGCCUGAUCCAGCCAUACCGCGUGGGUGAAAAAGGCCUUCGGGUUGUAAAGCCCUUUUGUUGGGAAAGAAAUCCAGCUGGCUAAUACCCGGUUGGGAUGACGGUACCCAAAGAAUAAGCACCGGCUAACUUCGUGCCAGCAGCCGCGGUAA
rnacentral:rRNA from 1 species